AUUGAACGCUGGCGGCAUGCUUUACACAUGCAAGUCGAACGGUAACAGGCCGCAAGGUGCUGACGAGUGGCGAACGGGUGAGUAAUGCAUCGGAACGUGCCCAGUCGUGGGGGAUAACUACUCGAAAGAGUAGCUAAUACCGCAUACGAUCUAUGGAUGAAAGCGGGGGACCGUAAGGCCUCGCGCGAUUGGAGCGACCGAUGUCAGAUUAGGUAGUUGGUGGGGUAAAGGCUCACCAAGCCAACGAUCUGUAGCUGGUCUGAGAGGACAACCAGCCACACUGGGACUGAGACACGGCCCAGACUCCUACGGGAGGCAGCAGUGGGGAAUUUUGGACAAUGGGCGCAAGCCUGAUCCAGCAAUGCCGCGUGCAGGAAGAAGGCCUUCGGGUUGUAAACUGCUUUUGUACGGAACGAAACGGCUCUGGUUAAUACCCGGGGCUAAUGACGGUACCGUAAGAAUAAGCACCGGCUAACUACGUG
rnacentral:rRNA from 1 species